AAAAACAUGGCUCUUUGAUUAUAUAAAUAUAAAGAGUCGAGCCUGCCCGGUGAAAAUUUUUUUUAACGGCCGCGGUACUCUGACCGUGCAAAGGUAGCAUAAUCAUUUGCCUUAUAAUUGAAGGCUAGUAUGAAUGGUUUGACGAGAACAAUGCUGUCUCCUUGUUAUUUUCAAGAAUUUAACCUUUAGGUGAAGAGGCCUAAAUUUUAUUGAAGGACAAGAAGACCCUGUCGAGCUUAAAAGAUAUUGCAGAAUCUUAUAUAUUUUUAAAUAAAUUUCUGCUAGGCUUUUUAGUUGGGGCGACUAAGGAACAAAAAAAGCUUCUUAUUAAAAAUAAACAACCACGUUUAGAUCCGAUAAUAAUCGAUUAAAGAAAUUAGUUACCGCAGGGAUAACAGCAUAAUCUUUCUUAAGAGACCUAAUCGAAAGAAGGGGUUGUGACCUCGAUGUUGGACUAGAAUAUCCUAAAGAUGCAGAAGUCUUUAAAGGUCGGUCUGUUCGACCGUUAAAAUUCUACGUGAUCUGA
rnacentral:rRNA from 1 species